rnacentral:siRNA from 1 species
UUUGGCACCGGUGUCUCCUCAGA